CGGGGGAGGCCGUAUCCUGGGCUGUGUCCCGGCGCCCUGUGCUCCGGGGCCUGCGCUGUUGGAUUCGCGCUCCUGCCCCACAGCCCCCU
rfam:Canis lupus familiaris chromosome 26, whole genome shotgun sequence.